rnacentral:rRNA from 1 species
CCGGCGACCGGCGCACGGGUGAGUAACACGUAUGCAACCUGGCCGUCACAGGUGGAUAACCGGAAGAAAUUCCGACUAAUACAGCAUAACACUCCUGAGGGACGUCCUUCGGGAGUCAAAGGAGGCAACUCCGGUGACGGAUGGGCAUGCGGCGCAUUAGGUAGUUGGUAGGGUAACGGCCUACCAAGCCGACGAUGCGUAGGGGUUCUGAGAGGAAGGUCCCCCACAUUGGAACUGAGACACGGUCCAAACUCCUACGGAAGGCAGCAG